CUUUUGUGCCUCUGUGAAAUGCUCAGUGAAGCUUUCGGCUGCUGGCCCGAACAGACCGGUGGGGGAGACCGGAGCAUCAAGGAAAGGAAUCUUGUUGGCGUCCUUGAAUUCCAUCAAGGUUAGCCAAAAAUGGCGCUCAAACACCACCAGACUGGCCAUGGAACGCCCUAUAGCCUAAGCCGUAGCUUUAGUGGUAUGCAAAGACAGGUCCGUUGCACUUCUCAGCUACCUGAGUAUCGCUGGGUCUGGGCCAGAUUUGUCCAUGCUGGCGAGGAGUUUGGCCUGGAAGACCUGGAGGACCGCAGUGGGCAGGUAGAGAUGUGCAUCCACCGACUCGUCCAGAGAAGUCAGCUUCUUGUACCCCUUAUCUUCAGCGCCGUCCACCAAAGUGAGGGUGGAUGAAGCGGAAGUAUGGAGACGUGCAGAGUAUAGGACGCUCCACGACCUGGUGAGCUUGUCAUAGACCUCCUGGAAAAAAGGAGUGGAUCCCUGACGAGGGGCUUGACUGCGACCCGGUAGGAACCACUUGUCCAGACAGCUGUGGGAGGGCUCUUUCGGUGGAGACCACUCCAAUCCCAGCUCCUCGACAGCUUUCGAGAGGACACUGAGUAAUUCAGCAGCCAUCCCGCGCUUAACGUCGCUGGGCUCGGAUGAUGGCAGGGGGGCGGGUGUGGCAGUCAAUGCUGCCAUCCAGCAACUCGUCAUCACUCCCACUAAACGAGACCAAAUCCCUCACGCUGGCAGAGGGACGCUGGUCAGGCUGGCAGAAGAGGACGGGGGAAGCCCCUCUGCAUGGAGAGAGCGAGGCAUGCGGGACUUGAGCUGACGUUAGCUCGCUCGCAUCCGAGCGCUGCGAUCCUCUGCCCCACUGUUUUUUCCUUACAGGCUCCUGGGUGGAAGAAAAUGGGAGGUCCCUAGGGGGGCUCUCUUUUUAAGGCUCACCGGAUGGCGGCAGGGAAAGCUGAACCACUGCUGUGCGGCACUGACAACUAUAUUGUAACAGUAUAAAACUCCAUAAUCACGGGAAGAAGGAGGCGGGAACCGGCGAACACUCAAAUAAAACUUUAAUGACAAAAAUAAUCACAAAACAGCGCGACAGCCCCUCACAGGCGACUGCCGCGCACAAACAAAAACCAAACCCAAAAUAAAGCCCAGGCCUGGUCCUCUCUCAUCCUUCACUGUCAUCGCUCCUCAUUUGUAUCCUUCCGAUCUCCUCCGUGGGACUCGAGACCGGUGAGUGGAGCAGGUGUCGCUCAUUUCCCAAUCACUCCACCGGCCUCGCUCCGUUCCCACGGCUCUCGGCCCCGCCCCACUUGUCACAUAUAUCUUUAUAAUUGUCGUUAUGAUUAUCUUCUUUGGUGUGAACAGGCCUUAUCCUGUGAAAUGCUAUUUUCAAAACAGUUCACUUCUGCAUUUUCGUUUUCAUCACAGUUUAUGACUCAUAAGUUAAUGUACCAUUAUAAAACAUGUGAAACAUUCCAAUCUACCUGCUGUGGGAAUAUUAUUUAUGCUCUUUAUGUAUUCUCCAUAAGAUACCUUGGUAAGAAAGUACCUGCUAAGAACAUAAAUGUUCUCAAAGUAAUAUUCAGGGUUCAGUACAAUAUUCU
ensembl:lncRNA